GAGUGGAAGUCAAAUUGACUGAGUGGCGGACGGGUGAGUAACGCGUGGGUAACCUGCCUCAUACAGGGGGAUAACAGUUAGAAAUGACUGCUAAUACCGCAUAAGCGCCACGGAAGCGCAUGCUUCUGUGUGUGAAAAACUCCGGUGGUAUGAGAUGGACCUGCGUCUGAUUAGCUGGUUGGUGAGGUAACGGCCCACCAAGGCGACGAUCAGUAGCCGACCUGAGAGGGUGACCGGCCACAUUGGGACUGAGACACGGCCCAAACUCCUACGGGAGGCAGCAGUGGGGAAUAGUUGCACAAUGGGGGAAACCCGUGAUGCAGCGACGCCGCGUGAGUGAAGAAGUAUUUCGGUUAUGUAAAGCUCUAUCAGCAGGGAAGAGAAUGACGGUACCUGACUAAGAAGCCCCGGCUAACUACGUGCCAGCAGCCGCGGUAA
rnacentral:rRNA from 1 species